rnacentral:rRNA from 1 species
AACCACCUGAGUUGAGUAUGAUUACCUGCUGAACUUAAGCAUAUCAGUAAGCAGAGGAAAAGAAACAAACAUGGAUUCCCUGAGUAACUGCGAGUGAAACGGGAUGAGCCCAGCGCUUAAGGUUGUCGGCCCUUGGCUGAUGACCGGUGUAGCGUAUAGAGCUUUCGUUCACCUUGUUCAGGCUGGUUUAAGUCUCGUUGGAACGCGGCGGCCUAGACGGUUUUACCCCGGUCAACCUGGCUGGACUUGGUGAGUGUUGGUUCUGGGAGUCGG